AGACCCGAAACCCGGUGAUCUAGCCAUGGGCAGGUUGAAGGUUGGGUAACACUAACUGGAGGACCGAACCGACUAAUGUUGAAAAAUUAGCGGAUGACCUGUGGCUGGGGGUGAAAGGCCAAUCAAACCGGGAGAUAGCUGGUUCUCCCCGAAAGCUAUUUAGGUAGCGCCUCGUGAAUUCAUCUCCGGGGGUAGAGCACUGUUUCGGCUAGGGGGCCAUCCCGGCUUACCAACCCGAUGCAAACUGCGAAUACCGGAGAAUGUUAUCACGGGAGACACACGGCGGGUGCUAACGUCCGUCGUGAAGAGGGAAACAACCCAGACCGCCAGCUAAGGUCCCAAAGUCAUGGUUAAGUGGGAAACGAUGUGGGAAGGCCCAGACAGCCAGGAUGUUGGCUUAGAAGCAGCCAUCAUUUAAAGAAAGCGUAAUAGCUCACUGGUCGAGUCGGCCUGCGCGGAAGAUGUAACGGGGCUAAACCAUGCACCGAAGCUGCGGCAGCGAACGUAUCACCCAAGACAACUUUACGGAGUUGACGAUUGACGGAGCGAAGCGACGUCAAAGCGUUCAUUAAAGUCGAGUUGGCUUAGGGAUACGUUCGUUGGGUAGGGGAGCGUUCUGUAAGCCUGUGAAGGUGUGUCGUGAGGCAUGCUGGAGGUAUCAGAAGUGCGAAUGCUGACAUAAGUAACGAUAAAGCGGGUGAAAAGCCCGCUCGCCGGAAGACCAAGGGUUCCUGUCCAACGUUAAUCGGGGCAGGGUGAGUCGACCCCUAAGGCGAGGCCGAAAGGCGUAGUCGAUGGGAAACGGGUUAAUAUUCCCGUACUUGGUGUUACUGCGAAGGGGGGACGGAGAAGGCUAUGUUGGCCGGGCGACGGUUGUCCCGGUUUAAGCGUGUAGGUGUGUGUUCCAGGUAAAUCCGGUUCACUUUAACACUGAGGCGUGACGACGAGGCACUACGGUGCUGAAGCAACAAAUGCCCUGCUUCCAGGAAAAGCCUCUAAGCAUCAGGUAACAUCAAAUCGUACCCCAAACCGACACAGGUGGUCAGGUAGAGAAUACCAAGGCGCUUGAGAGAACUCGGGUGAAGGAACUAGGCAAAAUGGUGCCGUAACUUCGGGAGAAGGCACGCUGACACGUAGGUGAAGUGAUUUACUCAUGGA
rnacentral:rRNA from 1 species